rnacentral:rRNA from 1 species
UGGGGAAUUUUGGACAAUGGGGGGAAACCCUGAUCCAGCCAUCCCGCGUGUGCGAUGAAGGCCUUCGGGUUGUAAAGCACUUUUGGCAGGAAAGAAACGUCGCGGGUUAAUACCCCGCGAAACUGACGGUACCUGCAGAAUAAGCACCGGCUAACUACGUGCCAGCAGCCGCGGUAAUACGUAGGGUGCAAGCGUUAAUCGGAAUUACUGGGCGUAAAGCGUGCGCAGGCGGUUCGGAAAGAAAGAUGUGAAAUCCCAGAGCUUAACUUUGGAACUGCAUUUUUAACUACCGGGCUAGAGUGUGUCAGAGGGAGGUGGAAUUCCGCGUGUAGCAGUGAAAUGCGUAGAUAUGCGGAGGAACACCGAUGGCGAAGGCAGCCUCCUGGGAUAACACUGACGCUCAUGCACGAAAGCGUGGGGAGCAAACAGGAUUAGAUACCCUGGUAGUCCACGCCCUAAACGAUGUCAACUAGCUGUUGGGGCCUUCGGGCCUUGGUAGCGCAGCUAACGCGUGAAGUUGGACCGCCUGGGGAGUACGGUCGCAAGAUUAAAAACUCAAAUGAA